rnacentral:rRNA from 1 species
AACCUAAGAGUUUGAUCCUGGCUCAGAACGAACGCUGGCGGCAGGCCUAACACAUGCAAGUCGAACGUGAAGCCACCUUCGGGUGGUGGAAAGUGGCAGACGGGUGAGUAACGCGUGGGAACGUGCCUUUCGGUUCGGGAUAACCCAGGGAAACUUGGGCUAAUACCGGAUACGCCCUUCGGGGGAAAGAUUCAUUGCCGAAAGAUCGGCCCGCGUCGGAUUAGCUAGUUGGUGGGGUAAAAGCCUACCAAGGCGACGAUCCGUAGCUGGUCUGAGAGGAUGACCAGCCACACUGGGACUGAGACACGGCCCAGACUCCUACGGGAGGCAGCAGUGGGGA